UCAUUUUUCCUAAAAAACUGUCGGGAAUCUGGACAAUUCGUUUAAAAUAAAGUAUUAUCUGGCGAAAAAUCCAUAUCUUUUGAGGUACGAUAUAAAAAGCCUAAAUAUUUUUAGUAUCCGAGAGUGUAUUUUCCGAGAAAAACACAUCCUAGCAAAACUAAUAGCAUCUUCGCUACAUUCAGAAUUUAAAACAAACGAAAAAAAUCUAAUAAAAUAAAUCCGUUGAACCUAAACAAGUUAAUAAAUGAGUACAAAUUGCAAUAUUACUAUUGCUAUGACGAUGUGCCACUUAUCGACCAAUAACUUCCAAAUGUCUCUUCGAAAAUAGUGGUCUAACCAUGGUGUGAAGUAUGCCUGGCUUAUUCAAUGUCUAUAAAAUCGGAGACAUAAAUCAGCGAUGUCACCGUACAUUUUUGAUAGAAAUUAAUAUAAACACGCAUUUAUGGGAUAAUGCAAGGAAAAUAGUUAUAAUAGUAAAAUAAUAAUACAAUUAAAAUAAUAAUUUUUUGUCGGUGCGAAUUAAUUAAUGAAUUGAUAAAUAAAAAAAUAUUAAAAGUAUACUUGUAAGUCGCUAUAAUAAAAUGCUUAAUUGGAUAAAAAACACAUUAACACAGUAUAUCACUACUCCAAUAAUUCAAUGACAC